CGGUGUAGCUCAGGGGUAGAGCAACUGAUUCGUAAUCAGUAGGUCGUCGGUUCAAUUCCGAUCACCG
rnacentral:tRNA from 1 species